GAUAUAGAAGCACUGACUCAAGCCCUUGGGACUUUGAUUAACUACUUGUGUGCUGUGGAUGUGCCUUGCCACAUGGUUUUAAGUAUGGCAUGUAAAAGAGGGCCUGAUCUACUUCUGGGAAGAGCAGAACAAGACCAAGCAAAUUGGAUUACUAUGGAGACUGCGUGUCAUGCUGGGCUCUACUGAAGUGAAGUCCACUGUUCCUCCAUUCAGAUUCUUCCUUGUGCCUCCCUCUUUGCAGGGAAGAAAUCUCUUUAAAAAAAAGCAGCAGCAGCAGCAACAACAAAAAAUGACCUCAUAAAAAUGAAGUAGCCCGUUCCCACUCUGAGCUCUUUUUUCUUCUCCUGGCCUGACCUUCAGGAAGACGAUAAAUUCAUUUGGUCUACCAAACACAGAGAGAUAAAUCUUCAGUGCAAUGUGUGGGGAAUUAGCCACUUAACUCCCAUUAACUUUAAUGGGAAUUUAAUAUUUAUUUACCCCACCACAUAUAAAUCUUAGCCUACGGUUUCUUACUAAGAUGUUUUCAUUGUUUUAUGGAUCCUGGUUAUCCACCUAGAAAGUUUACCAGGAUGUCAGCAGAAAAGAAACAUACUGGAAACUUACAUCCCUUCUCUUCAUAUAAGCUGCAAAAUGCAUGUGAGAUAUGUAAGGUGAAAUUUCUGAACUCUGUGUGUGAUUCACUCAAUUGAUUCAGACCCCAAGUUGACACAAACCUGUACUGCUUGGUGCUGGCACCCUCAUUGUCUCUAGGAUCUAGAAUUAUGUGAUGCUGAGAAACCUUUGGGAGCAAAAAUUCUGAUCAAUAAUUGAAUUGUGGUUGGAAAUAGGUUGAAAACCACAGUUAAAUCAACUGUGAAAUUGGUGGGGAGAAGGGAGCAGGACUGCAUGGAAAAUCAAAGCCUGAGCAGAAGUUUCCAAGGUAAAUAAUUGACCUGUGAAAGCUGCUCUCCCCUCCCAUCCCCUUCCUAAUGUACCGGAUGAUCAUUGUUUUUGAAAAGACCCUUUCGAAAUCAAAAUAACCUAAACAUUUUUAAAAUGGGCCUGCUUCAUGAUCUCACUCUGUUGUGAAUCAGGAAUAACUCUGCUGGCGGCAAGGUCUGAUGAACCCAGUCCUGAUCUCACUUAUACAGGUUUUAUAUCAUUGUAUCUUCAUGGACAUCAGUGGGGUUACUUACCCCUGAUUUACAUCAGUGUAAAUGAGGACCUGCAUUCGUCUUGAACUCUGAAGUCUUGUCGUUUCCAGCAGAAGUUGAGGGCACACAAGUUUUGCAAGGCUUGGUCUUUUAUGGCAGUCUCACAGACAAAGCCACAUCCCUGAACUACUGGCCUGAGCCCAGUGUGCAUUUCUGAAAAUAUUUUUUCUUUCGUGUAUUGAAACUGUGGCUUUUAUCAGCCUUGACCUCAUCGCUAACUGCACCUGUCAGGUUCCUACAGAGAGAGGAAUGAGCGCAGUCUCUGGGUUUGUUUUCAUAGCUCUAAAACGCAGACAGGGAUUCAUUAGGAGGUCGUUAUGCAAUACGCCACCAUUGGUUGUGGAUUCAUUUUCCCUCGUGAACAAAGGUAUUUUUUUUAAAAGAACAAAUUGUGGUCUGAGUUAUACUGGUAUAAAUGCAUAGUAAUCCUCUUGACUUCAAUGGAGUUACUCCAGACUUAAACAGGUAUAAACGAGAACAAAAUAUGGCUUCCUGCAUUCAGAUUGCACAUAUUAAAAAGCUGUGGUUAUACUCAAGAAUACAGGAUCCCAGAGUCUAUGAACUAUUAAA